rnacentral:rRNA from 1 species
GACAGAGGGUGCAAACGUUGCUCGGAAUCACUGGGCGUAAAGGGCGUGUAGGCGGGAAGGAAAGUCAGAUGUGAAAUCCCUGGGCUCAACCCAGGAACUGCGUCCGAUACUGGAAGGCUUGAAUCCGGGAGAGGGAUGCGGAAUUCCAGGUGUAGCGGUGAAAUGCGUAGAUAUCUGGAGGAACACCGGUGGCGAAGGCGGCAUCCUGGACCGGUAUCGACGCUGAGGCGCGAAAGCCAGGGGAGCAAACGGG